rnacentral:rRNA from 1 species
CAUGCAAGUCGAGGGGCAGCAUUUUAGUUUGCUUGCAAACUGAAGAUGGCGACCGGCGCACGGGUGAGUAACACGUAUCCAACCUGCCGAUAACUCCGGGAUAGCCUUUCGAAAGAAAGAUUAAUACCGGAUGGCAUACGAAUAUCGCAUGAUAUUUUUAUUAAAGAAUUUCGGUUAUCGAUGGGGAUGCGUUCCAUUAGUUUGUUGGCGGGGUAACGGCCCACCAAGACUACGAUGGAUAGGGGUUCUGAGAGGAAGGUCCCCCACAUUGGAACUGAGACACGGUCCAAACUCCUACGGGAGGCAGCAGUGAGGAAUAUUGGUCAAUGGGCGAGAGCCUGAACCAGCCAAGUAGCGUGAAGGAUGAAGGCUCUAUGGGUCGUAAACUUCUUUUAUAUGGGAAUAAAGUUUUCCACGUGUGGAAUUUUGUAUGUACCAUAUGAAUAAGGAUCGGCUAACUCCGUGCCAGCAGCCGCGGUAAUACGGAGGAUCCGAGCGUUAUCCGGAUUUAUUGGGUUUAAAGGGAGCGUAGGUGGAUUGUUAAGUCAGUUGUGAAAGUUUGCGGCUCAACCGUAAAAUUGCAGUUGAAACUGGGAGUCUUGAGUACAGUAGAGGUGGGCGGAAUUCGUGGUGUAGCGGUGAAAUGCUUAGAUAUCACGAAGAACUCCGAUUGCGAAGGCAGCUCACUAGACUGUCACUGACACUGAUGCUCGAAAGUGUGGGUAUCAAACAGGAUUAGAUACCCUGGUAGUCCACACAGUAAACGAUGAAUACUCGCUGUUUGCGAUAUACAGUAAGCGGCCAAGCGAAAGCAUUAAGUAUUCCACCUGGGGAGUACGCCGGCCACGGUGAAACU